rnacentral:rRNA from 1 species
UACGAAGGGACCUAGCGUUGUCCGGAAUCAUUGGGCGUAAAGCGCGCGUAGGCGGCCCGGUAAGUCCGUUGUAAAAGUCGAAGGCUCAACCUUCGAAAGCCGAUGGAUACUGCCGGGCUAGAGUACGGAAGAGGCGAGUAGAAUUCCUGGUGUAGCGGUGGAAUGCGCAGAUAUCAGGAGGAAUACCCAUAGCGAAGGCAGCUCGCUGGGACGUUACUGACGCUGAGGCGCGAAAGCGUGGGGAGCGAACAGG